rnacentral:rRNA from 1 species
AGCGAACGUUGGCGAUGUGUUUUAAGCAUGCAAGUCGAGCGGCCAGCAAUGGCAGCGGCGAACUGGUGAGUAACACGUAGGUAAUCUGCCGUAAAGUGGGGGACAGCCCUUGGAAACGAGGAUUAAUACCGCAUAUACUCUUGCCACAUAAGUGGAGUAGAGGAAAGUAGUAAUACGCUUUACGAUGAACCUGCGUCCUAUUAGCUAGUUGGUGGGGUAAUAGCCUACCAAGGCAACGAUAGGUAGCCGACCUGAGAGGGUGACCGGCCACAUUGGGACUGAGAUACGGCCCAGACUACUACGGUGGGCAGCAGCUGAGAAUUUUCCGCAAUGGACGAAAGUCUGACGGAGCGACAUCGCGUGAGGGAUGAAUGCCUUAGGGUUGUAAACCUCAGAAAUUACUGAAAAAUAAAUGAUAGUAAGUAAUGUAAGCCUCGGCUAACUACGUGCCAGCAGCCGCGGUAAUAC